AAUCUGCCUAGUAGUGGGGGAUAGCUCGGGGAAACUCGAAUUAAUACCGCAUACGACCUACGGGUGAAAGGGGGCGCAAGCUCUUGCUAUUAGAUGAGCCUAAAUCAGAUUAGCUAGUUGGUGGGGUAAAGGCCCACCAAGGCGACGAUCUGUAACUGGUCUGAGAGGAUGAUCAGUCACACCGGAACUGAGACACGGUCCGGACUCCUACGGGAGGCAGCAGUGGGGAAUAUUGGACAAUGGGGGCAACCCUGAUCCAGCCAUGCCGCGUGUGUGAAGAAGGCCUUUUGGUUGUAAAGCACUUUAAGCAGGGAGGAGAGGCUAAUGGUUAAUACCCAUUAGAUUAGACGUUACCUGCAGAAUAAGCACCGGCUAACUCUGUGCCAGCAGCCGCGGUAAUACAGAGGGUGCGAGCGUUAAUCGGAAUUACUGGGCGUAAAGCGAGUGUAGGUGGCUCAUUAAGUCACAUGUGAAAUCCCCGGGCUUAACCUGGGAACUGCAUGUGAUACUGGUGGUGCUAGAAUAUGUGAGAGGGAAGUAGAAUUCCAGGUGUAGCGGUGAAAUGCGUAGAGAUCUGGAGGAAUACCGAUGGCGAAGGCAGCUUCCUGGCAUAAUAUUGACACUGAGAUUCGAAAGCGUGGGUAGCAAACAGGAUUAGAU
rnacentral:rRNA from 1 species